CCCGAUGGAGGGGGAUAACUACUGGAAACGGUAGCUAAUACCGCAUAACGUCUUCGGACCAAAGUGGGGGACCUUCGGGCCUCACACCAUCGGAUGUGCCCAGAUGGGAUUAGCUAGUAGGUGGGGUAAUGGCUCACCUAGGCGACGAUCCCUAGCUGGUCUGAGAGGAUGACCAGCCACACUGGAACUGAGACACGGUCCAGACUCCUACGGGAGGCAGCAGUGGGGAAUAUUGCACAAUGGGCGCAAGCCUGAUGCAGCCAUGCCGCGUGUAUGAAGAAGGCCUUCGGGUUGUAAAGUACUUUCAGCGGGGAGGAAGGCGGUGAAGUUAAUAACUUCACCGAUUGACGUUACCCGCAGAAGAAGCACCGGCUAACUCCGUGCCAGCAGCCGCGGUAAU
rnacentral:rRNA from 1 species